UCCAUGAAGGAAGAGGCUACUUUGGUGGGU
rnacentral:piRNA from 1 species